CUUGACACUGAACAUUGAGCCUUGAUGUGUAGGAUAGGUGGGAGGCUUUGAAGUGUGGACGCCAGUCUGCAUGGAGCCGACCUUGAAAUACCACCCUUUAAUGUUUGAUGUUCUAACGUUGACCCGUAAUCCGGGUUGCGGACAGUGUCUGGUGGGUAGUUUGACUGGGGCGGUCUCCUCCUAAAGAGUAACGGAGGAGCACGAAGGUUGGCUAAUCCUGGUCGGACAUCAGGAGGUUAGUGCAAUGGCAUAAGC
rnacentral:rRNA from 1 species